rnacentral:rRNA from 1 species
AACCUCCACAAUGUACGAGAGUGCGAUGGGGGGAUCCCAAGUGCUAUUCUUAACGGGAUAGCUUUUCUUAAGUGUAAAAAGCUUUUGGAAUAAGAGCUGGGCAAGACCGGUGCCAGCCGCCGCGGUAACACCGGCAGCUCUAGUGGUAGCUGUUUUUAUUGGGCCUAAAGCGUUCGUAGCCGGUUUGAUAAGUCUCUGGUGAAAUCCUGUAGCUUAACUGUGGGAAUUGCUGGUGAUACUGUUGAACUUGAGGUCGGGAGAGGUUAGCGGUACUCCCAGGGUAGAGGUGAAAUUCUGUAAUCCUGGGAGGACCACCUGUGGCGAAGGCGGCUAACUGGAACGAACCUGACGGUGAGGGACGAAAGCUAGGGGCGCGAACCGGAUUAGAUACCCGGGUAGUCCUAGCCGUAAACGAUGCGGACUUGGUGUUGGGGUGGCUUUGAGCUGUUCGGUGCCGUAGGGAAGCUGUAAGUCCGCCGCCUGGGAAGUACGGUCGCAAGACUGAAACUUAAAGGAAU